CCCUUAGACGUUCUGGGCCGCACGCGCGCUACACUGACCAGUGCAACAAGCAUCCGUCCUUGGCCGACAGGCUCGGGCAAUCUUUGAACGCUGGUCGUGAUGGGGAUAGACUUUUGCAAUUUUUGGUCUUCAACGAGGAAUUCCUAGUAAACGCAAGUCAUCAACCUGCAUUGAUUACGUCCCUGCCCUUUGUACACACCGCCCGUCGCACCUACCGAUUGAAUGGUCCGGUGAAGCCUCCGGAUUGGCGCGCACCUCGGUGCCGCCGAGAAGUUGGCUAAACCUUACCAUUUAGAGGAAGGUGAAGUCGUAACA
rnacentral:rRNA from 1 species